UCUAGUGGCGAUCUGUGAAACUGCGCUCACGCCGCGGUAAAGGCUUUUGGAACAAGCUUGGCUACUCCGAAUUUCAGUGCUUGUCGGGCAGCCACGGAACGUUUGUCCAUCUUUAAGGCUUUAAACCCAGAGGAACCACGAAGGAAAGCAUGCCACAGUGUUUUCCAAAAUCCCUGGGUCCUAAGGAACAACUAAGAAGUAGUCAGGGAAAAGAUUUCUUUCAGGAUCCAGAUAUGCAAAACUGAGACGCAAUCAGAGACACUCUUGCCUGCAACAGUUGUAGCAGAAAGCAAGCAGGUAACUUGGGUCCCUUGUCCAUACCAGACUGGUGCUGCAGCUACAGAGAUGGAUCUCAGAGAGUCACGGGCUUCCAAGCACAGCCGUGGCUCAUAGACACAUCACUCCAAUCUCCGCCUCGGUCGUCAUGGUGGUAUGGCUGAAUCGGGUCCCCCCACCCCCUCCGCAAUUCAUACGGUGAAGUCCUAUCCCCCAGUACCUCAGACUGUGACUGCAUUUGGAGAUAGAGCCUUUAAAGAGGUGACUAAGUCAUAAUGGGGACAUCAGGCUGGGCCCUCAUCCAAUAUGACUGGUGUCCUUAUAAGAGAUUAGGACGCAGACCACAGACUGAAGGAAGACCCUGUGAGGACAGCUUGAGAGACGGCCAUCUGCAAGCCAAGAAGAGCGGCCUCAGGAGAAUCCGAACCUGCCAGCACCUUGACCUUGGACUUCCAGCCUCCAGAAAUGGCUCUGUUUUCUCUCCCAUCUGUAGCCUCCUGAAGGGAGGUCAGGGACAAGUGCGCCAGGUAGCUGCUUUGCAGAGGGCACGAGGUCGGCGGGCACUGCCAGCGCCUCCCUGGAGGCUGGGAGCGCUAGGCAAAGAAGCAAAGCGACACGGCGCUAGGUGUUCCCCAACGGCCCAUGCCCUGCAGCUUGAGAUGGGCCACGUGGCCUUCUCCAGCUCUGUCCAUCAGCGGGCUGGGGGGACAGCCGUAGGACACUUGUCAUUUAUUGUUAUCUAUACUUGUGUUCUGUCACUGAUUUAAAUUUUUCCUGAGCUGUUUGCCAGGAAAUACAGUGUGAGAUUGAGCAACUUCUUUGAUUUUUUUUCCCAUCAAGAAAAUGCCAGCUCUUCUCAAGGAUGGCAGGCAAAUGUUUACAUAUCUCUGCUUCCUAUUUACCAGCAAGAAUGAGAGCUUAGCGACCCUCCAUCUUGGCCACAUGCUGGAGUCACCCCCAGAGAUCUUGACUGAAUUGGUCUGGGACGUGGCCCAGGCGCCGGGAUAUUUAAGAGGUCCCCAGGUAGCGCUGAUGUGCAACUGCGGCUGAGAAGCACUUGCUUCAGGUGUCUUCGCAGCUGAGUUAUCCAGCACUCAAUAGAAUUGCGGGGAAUUUAGCUCAUGCGCUCCAACUCCUUCACGAAAGAGACAGGAAACUGGCACCCAGAACACCCAAGGUCGUCCACCCCGUGCACCCGUGCAAAGCCUCAUUCUGGGUCUAUUUAUAAGUUAAGGGCUCAGCUUGCUAACAUAUACAGCCAUAGCUGUCUCAUUUUCCCACCAGCCUUUUCCGCUUGUCCACUUUAUCUUUACAGAAUGAAUGGUUUGGUUUGCAAUCAUAAAGAUCAUAUUGUCGGUACAUGUACUUUGUGUUGGCUUAAUCUUGGAAAGCAAGAAAAUGAGAAGAAUAAUUAAAUACGUUGAUGUUCAUUCACUGGGGAGGAGAGAGUUAAGGGCAAGCAUUGUUGAAAUUUGGAAAGAAAAGAGGCUUUUGUGCCCCUUAAAAAUAUUAGCUCAAGAAAUAUCUUUAUAAUAAAACAAUUUCACAAA